ACUCCUACGGGAGGCAGCAGUAAGGAAUAUUGGUCAAUGGACGAAAGUCUGAACCAGCCAUGCCGCGUGAAGGAUGAAGGUCCUCUGGAUUGUGAACUUCUUUUAUCUGGGACGAAAAAAGGGAAUUCUUUCCCACUUGACGGUACCAGAGGAAUAAGCACCGGCUAACUCCGUGCCAGCAGCCGCGGUAAUACGGAGGGUGCAAGCGUUAUCCGGAUUCACUGGGUUUAAAGGGUGCGUAGGUGGGUCUGUAAGUCAGUGGUGAAAUCUCCGAGCUUAACUCGGAAACUGCCGUUGAUACUAUAGGUCUUGAAUCAUCUGGAGGUAAGCGGAAUAUGUCAUGUAGCGGUGAAAUGCUUAGAUAUGACAUAGAACACCAAUUGCGAAGGCAGCUUACUACGGAUGCAUUGACACUGAGGCACGAAAGCGUGGGGAUCAAACAGGAUUAGAUACCCUGGUAGUCCACGCCCUAAACGAUGGAUACUCGACAUUUGCGAUAUACUGUAAGUGUCUGAGCGAAAGCAUUAAGUAUCCCACCUGGGAAGUACGACCGCAAGGUUGAAACUCAAAGGAAUUGACGG
rnacentral:rRNA from 1 species